UGCGCAGGUGGGGAUGUAAGUCAGUGGUGAAAUACUGCCGCUCAACGGUAGAACUGCCAUUGAUACUGCAUCUCUUGAGUAUGGUUGAGGUAGGCGGAAUGUGUCGUGUAGCGGUGAAAUGCAUAGAUAUGACACAGAACGCCGAUUGCGAAGGCAGCUUACUAAACCAUUACUGACGCUGAGGCACGAAAGCGUGGGGAGCGAACAGGAUUAGAUACCCUGGUAGUCC
rnacentral:rRNA from 1 species